AUUGAACGUUGGCGGCACGCNUAAUACAUGCAAGUCGAACGAGAAAGCACUUCGGUGUGAGUACAGUGGCGGACGGGUGAGUAACGCGUAGGAAUCUACCUAGUAGUGGGGGACAACUCGAGGAAACUCGAGCUAAUACCGCAUACGCUCUUAGGAGGAAAGUGGGGGAUCUUCGGACCUCACGCUAUUAGAGGAGCCUGCGUUAGAUUAGCUUGUUGGUGAGGUAAAGGCUCACCAAGGCGACGAUCUAUAGCUGGUCUGAGAGGACGAUCAGCCACACUGGAACUGAGACACGGUCCAGACUCCUACGGGAGGCAGCAGUAGGGAAUCUUGGGCAAUGGGCGAAAGCCUGACCCAGCGAUGCCGCGUGUGCGAAGAAGGCCUUAGGGUUGUAAAGCACUUUCAGUCGUGAAGAAAAGCCACGAUUUAAUAUGUCGUGGUCUUGACGUUAGCGACAGAAGAAGUACCGGCUAACUCCGUGCCAGCAGCCGCGGUAAUACGGAGGGUACGAACGUUAAUCGGAAUUACUGGGCGUAAAGCGCGCGUAGGCGGUUUGAUAAGUGGGAUGUGAAAGCCCCGGGCUCAACCUGGGAACUGCAUUCCAAACUGUCAAACUAGAGUGUGGUAGAGGGCGGUAGAAUUUCCUGUGUAGCGGUGAAAUGCGUAGAUAUAGGAAGGAAUACCGAUGGCGAAGGCAGCCGCCUGGACCAACACUGACGCUGAG
rnacentral:rRNA from 1 species